rnacentral:rRNA from 1 species
UUGCCUCAGUAACGGCGAGUGAAGCGGCAACAGCUCAAAUUUGAAAUCUGGCCGUUCGGCGGUCCGAGUUGUAAUUUGUAGAGGAUGCUUCGGGUGCGGCGCCGGUCUAAGUUCCUUGGAACAGGACGUCAGAGAGGGUGAGAAUCCCGUAUGUGACCGGUGACCCAGCCCGUGUGAAGCUCCUUCGACGAGUCGAGUUGUUUGGGAAUGCAGCUCUAAAUGGGUGGUAAAUUUCAUCUAAAGCUAAAUACCGGCCAGAGACCGAUAGCGCACAAGUAGAGUGAUCGAAAGAUGAAAAGCACUUUGGAAAGAGAGUUAAAAAGUACGUGAAAUUGUUGAAAGGGAAGCGCUUGUGACCAGACUUGCUCGCGGGCGAUCAGCCGUCCUUCUGGGCGGUGCACUCGCCCGUGAUCAGGCCAGCAUCGGUUCGGGCGGCCGGAUAACGGCCCCGGGAAUGUGGCUCCCCUCGGGGAGUGUUAUAGCCCGGGGCGCAAUGCGGCCCGCCGGGACCGAGGACCGCGCUUCGGCUAGGAUGCUGGCGUAAUGGUCGUAAGCGACCCGUCUUGAAACACGGACCAAGGAGUCUAACAUCUGUGCGAGUGUUUGGGUGUCAAACCCAUGCGCGGAAUGAAAGUGAACGGAGGUGGGAACCCUUCAGGGUGCACCAUCGACCGAUCCUGAUGUCUUCGGAUGGAUUUGAGUAAGAGCAUAGCUGUUGGGACCCGAAAGAUGGUGAACUAUGCCUGAAUAGGGUGAAGCCAGAGGAAACUCUGGUGGAGGCUCGCAGCGGUUCUGACGUGCAAAUCGAUCGUCAAAUUUGGGUAUAGGGGCGAAAGACUAAUCGAACCAUCUAGUAGCUGGUUCCUGCCGAAGUUUCCCUCAGGAUAGCAGUAACGUUUUCAGUUUUAUGAGG